UUACGGGCCAGGACGCCACAAUUGCAACAGCACAUGAGAUGUUCUAGAUGUUCCCGGCAGCUUCUCUUCAGCAUCAAAUAUUAAACUCCUGCCAUCGGCAGAGUUUGGACCUGGGGUGGGGCCAGCAGGAAGAGCUCGGGCGCAGAGACCUUGGCCUGACCUCAGAUCCAGGCAGGAGGGUGCUCGCCCGUGUCCCGCCCCAGGGACCGAGCUCCGAGAGAGCAAGCCAGCCCAGCGUCCGGCUCUGGCUCAAGGGCCCCAGGGCUGGGCUGGAAACAGAAUCCAACUGUGCCUCUCGAGGCCUCCAGCUGAAGCAGCUCUUUUCUUUUUCUUUUUGCCUUUUCUUUUCUUCUUCUUCUUCUUUUAUUUUUUCUAAUUUUGAGACAAGGUCCUCCUGAGUCCCUUAGCUGCCCGAGGCUAGGCUCAAACUUACGAUCCUCCUGCUUCAGCAUCCCGGAGUGCUGGGGUCACAGGUGUGCAGCACCUCGCCUGCUGAGCAGCUCCUGGGCAGCAUUUCUGAGUCUCCACCGACUGUCACCUGAGCCCGAGGACUGCACACCGGCCCUGGAGGCCACUGUGCCUGCAGACGGCAAAAGGCGACACAUAGACACCAGGCAGUGACGGUAACACUGGCCGGGCCCACGCACUUCCAGCUUUGCUCCACCAUGCCCUUCCACCAUGACAUUCCUGCCUUGGAGCAGCCGAUCAGGGACUGAAUCCCCUGCAACUUUCCAUCUGCAUUUCCUGUUAUUCUCCAAUAAACAAAACGACAAGUCCUGAACCCAGGAUGACCACCCCAGGCGGAGGCCCGGGCUGAGCGGCUCCCUGGCUGUGGACAGGCUCCUGGGGACGGCCGAACCCUCCUCCUCUGCCCACAGACAGAGCCCGAAGCGCGUGUUCAGCGCAUGCCCUACCUGCACACUGCCACAGGACUACCUCGAAGCCGUCCCUGUCGGCGUGGUGCUUUGGGCCUCAAGUGUCUCCCAAGCACCGCUGUCUCAGGGGUUUGUCACGGUGACGGAAAGCUGGCCGAUGCGGACAUCUGGAGCCGCGCAGAGGAGGAUCUGCUCGGUGUCACUUCGGCACAGCCUGGGGGUCCUGUCCUAGGGCGCUGGCUUCUCAAGCUGGAGCAGACCUGGCCCAGCCUCUUGUCACCAAUCGCCGGCCACCUUGUUUGGAGGAUUCGAGUUCUGGGGUGCCAACCUAACCCGGCUCAACCCACAGAGACCAGAGCUGGGCCAAGGCUGAGUGUGAAGUAAGCCGCAUGGCGACACCUGGGCAAUGGCCUUCCCUGCCCCGCUGUGUCCCCGAGUCCUCUCCCCUCGUGGGCAGGUUCCAGUUUAAGGAGGUGGGAGGCUUGCCCCACAGAGCUGCAUGCGGCCUCAGGAAUGUGGAUUUGUGAACAGGGUUCUGGCUGCCCAGGGCCCUUCCAGGCUCUCAUCCUGUUCAAAGAAUUGUAUGGAGAGGCUUCACACGCAUUAAAGGUAAGAAGGGUGGGAGAAGUGCUCUGAAAGAAGCCCUGCUGUCAAAAGUCACAGGGCCUGAGGCUCAUGACCGCGCCCUGCCCAUCCUCCUCCCAAACUCAGAUCCAGGCCGCCCACCAAGUCCUGCUUGGGCUGUGCCGGAAGAAGCACAGGCAGCAUCCUCUGCUCAGUACCGGGCUGGCCUGGAAGCCGCUCUGCACACAUCCUGGCCUUGAUGGGCAGGUCACACCCCGGCCCAGCACCCCGCCUCGUCCGGACCCCAGCCCCAGUCUCAUGCCGUCCCCUGUGUGGUCGGCUUCCCAUCACCGUUACAAUGCUAGAGGCAACAUCUCAGGCAGAGGAAAGGCUUAGUCUGGGCCUCCGAGGUUCCAGCCAUGGUCCCUGGGCCUGGCUGCCUGGCAUUAGGGCAGAGGGGUGGCAGGAAAUGGAGAGAGGAGCCAAGGCCCUGGGGCCCCUCGGUCAGAGGCCUGUGGGGCACCCUAGAGAGGCCUGGGAGGACGCCUGGUGCACUCCUCACUGGUGCAGGACGGCCCAGGGUCUGGGCCAGGCAGGAGAUCUGCAUUUUCAGGUCCGCACCCAUGAACCAUUUUAAAGAAAGGAAAGGAAAGUUCUGAGAGGGAAGGGUGGGACUGGACCAGGGCCAGGGAGUCCAGGGCUGGGGCAAUGGACCCCCUCUUCUCAUAGAGAGGUGAGUGAGGCCUUAUACUGCUGGCUGCAGGCAGAAACUGCAACGUGCCAGAAAGGAGUUCCUCAGGGAAACGGGAAUAAUACUACUGAAGCCAGCACCGACAGAUGGGGUCAUCUCCUGCCUUGUCUGUGUAGCAGGUCACUGCCCAACACCCAGAAGGGGAGAAUGGCGGUUGCUGAGAUGCCACUGGAAAAGCCAGGCUUUCCUUCAUGCAAGAGAGCACAUGGUUGGCCUCCUUAGGGUUCAAGCACUGUGACCCUUGGCCAGAGAAGUCUGGGAAGGACUCCAGGCCCCCCGGAGCAGAUUCUGAGUCCCUGGCAGCUGCCUGGCACACAAGGGUCCUGCAGACAGCAAGGACUGCAUGGCUGUGUGACCCAUGCACAAAGCUUACUGCAACAUUCACACAGAAUCCCUGGGCAGAUGGUGGGGCUCGUGCCCUGGCAGCCCAGAGAGCAGAUGCCCAGGGCUCCCAGGUUGCCUGGGGUGCAGCCACAGAGCACCUACACCUGCCCCCCAGCCAUGGUGCAGCAAUUGUCUUUGGAGCCAGCUGCAAGGGAAGUGGCCAGCAGCUCCUGCCCAGUGCCCCGGGCAAACUUCCCACCACACUCUCAUUCUGCAGGUGCGCGGGGGCCUGGGACUCAGCUGCUCCCCUACUGCACGGCCUGCGUGGGAAGAAGCCCACUCCCCAGGCCACUGCAGUGCAUGGGAGGAAGGGCCCUGAGAGGACGUCCCCUCCCUGGACAACCAUCUGCUAGGCGGCCAGGGGCUGCCAGGAAGACACAGGCCCAGAGGGCCAGAGAGUUCCGGACGCCGUCUGGCGUUCCCACUGUGGGAAGGCACUGACCUGGCCAUUGCUCCUCGGAGAUCCUGGGCAGAGAGAUGGGGGCGGCACAAGCUCACCCACAGGCCCGAGGCCUGUUUUUAUAAAUAAAGCUUUAUUGGAACACUGACGCUAUCCUUCCUUUGCAUCUUGUCUGUGGCUGCUUUCCUGCUACAGGAACAGUGGAAUCCUUGGGGCAACCAGGCUCAGGAUGUUUGCCAGACGGCGGGCGAUGCUGUCCCCCAGAAGAUGUAGCUUGUCCUGGCCGGUGGCUGACUCUGCCGUGGGUAUGCACACCAGCUCCUGUGUGGGAUUCCAGCGAUGAGGCAGAAAGGCCGCACGUUGUGGCAGCAGCAAAGGCCACUUGCCUGUGUGGCCAGGAUGUGACAGAGAAGGAAGAGAAGGGCCCGGUCCCCCACGUCUCCAAGGGCUCCCCAGGGACCUCGCCCUCAGCCUAUCACUGGGCUUGUCCGGCCUGGAGGAGAAUUUCUGCAGAACCAGUGAGCUCAUCCACUUGAGUGAGGGCACGGGAGGCCAGGAGGAGGCCCUGAGCGCUGUCCACCGCGAGCCAUGUUGGGGUGAACAGGAGUGCCUGCUGGAUCCAAGCCUGCCCCAGAGAAUACAAGAUCUGGGAGCUCUUCUGAGGAAAGAGACGGAACCCCAGCUGGUCACUGAGCAGAUGCUGCAGCCCCCCCCCCCCCAGUGGGUCCAUGCACACCAGGAGCUCCGCUCGCCAGGUGCUGGCGGCCUCCUCCCGGUGUUUGCUGGUGAAGACGAGCCUGGACUUCCUUCAAAGUACGGCUGUCGCUGGCACAGGAGUGGGGGUUGGGGGUGACAGCUUGAGGGGGUUGUUUUUCCUUGUUAGCAAGUUCUGCGUUUAACAUUUAAAAUUAUGACAACUGAUGCAAUGUUUUCUUGAAAUGGUGAAGCUAUUUUAAACCAUUCAGCUGGACAGGAGUUUGUAGUUUAUACUGGUACACGUUUAAAACACUUCGCAAUUAAUUAUUGGGCUUAAAAAAUUAAAGCUAUAAUCUGGGCGUGGUGCUGCACACCUGUAAUCCCAGCACUUGGGAGGCUGACACAGGAGUAUCGCUGUGAGUUUGAGGCCAGCCUGGGCAAUAUGGUGAGACCCGUGUCAAUCCCCCCAGAUCAAAGCUGUAAAUUUAUUCCGAUUUCUGUCUUGCACUUCAUUUCAGUGGAAAUAAAGGGCCGGCUAGGAGCACUCUGACUGGCAGUGACGAGACAAUGACAGCUUUUGCUGAAGGCGAAACCUGCCGCCGUCAUUCUUGGGGAUCGGUAGCCUUUCCCCAGUGGGCUUGAGGCCCGGCGCGAGGUCCGUUCUUCACCAGGAGUGCGAAUUCUUCUCUCUAAAUGCAUGUUGACGUUUAGUUGGCACACAGUAAUCACACGCAUGUGGGUUUCGGUGCCGCACUUCGGCACGCGGCACGGAAUGAUCCGUGACUGACGCAGCCAUCGCCUCAAAUGGCAGUCGUUUCUUGGGGGAGGCCCCCGCAUCCCCUCCCUCACUGUUCUGAAAUACUCAGCUGAUCACGGCCCACCACACUUAUCCAGCCCUGCUGUCCUCCCACCCGCCUGCACCCCAACGCCCACGACCGCCCUCUCCCCCGUCCGGGGCUCGGGAGUCUCAGUGUCCCCUUCUUCUAGGAGAAACCUCUUAGCUGUGAUAAAAACAUCCCACGAGUGUUUGCUUUGUUUUGUUUUGGUUGGGUUUGGCGUUGUCUUUCUGCCCUGGCUCUUUCACCUGGAGGGGCGGCCCCCAGUUCCGUGAGAAAUGGAAGGCGGCCGCCCUGAA